rnacentral:rRNA from 1 species
AUACGUGGCGGCUGCUUACACAUGCAAGUUGAACGGGUUUAAGUUUAUUAAACUUAAACAAGUAGCGGACGGGUGAGUAACGCGUAAGAACCUACCUUUAGGUAAGGAAUAACUAUUGGAAACGAUAGAUAAUACCUUAUAAGCUUAUAGUAAAAGAUAAAAUCGCCUAAGGAUGGGCUUGCGUCUGAUUAGCUUGUUGGUGAUUUAAAAGAUUCACCAAGGCAACGAUCAGUAGUUGGUCUAAGAGGAUGAUCAACCACACUGGGACUGAGACACGGCCCAGACCUCUACGGAGGGCAGCAGUGAGGAAUUUUCCGCAAUGGGCGAAAGCCUGACGGAGCAAUGCCGCGUGGAGGAUGAAAGCUUGUGAGUCGUAAACUCCUUUUCUUAGUGAAGAAAUAAGACGGUAUCUAAGGAAUAAGCAUCGGCUAACUCCGUGCCAGCAGCCGCGGUAAUACGGAGGAUGCAAGCGUUAUUCGGAAUUAUUGGGCGUAAAGCGUCUGUAGGUGGUUUUUUAAGUCUACUGUUAAAUAUUAAGGCUUAACCUUAAAAAAGCGGUAUGAAACUAAAAAACU